rnacentral:miRNA from 1 species
CGUGUGUGUGUGUGUGUUUCUGAUGUAAACAUGAGAACUGUGUCAUCACACACACACACACACACACACACACACAACACACACACAC